rnacentral:lncRNA from 1 species
AGAACACUUGAAUAUGAAACAGAAAUGUUAAUUUUGAGUUGUCAAAAACAAGGCAUAAAAUCUAGACAAGGAAUAAAAUAGAAAAGACAUUGUACCGGAUGCAGAAAUGCAUUAUUAAAGAAACAAUACUUCUUGCUCUUUGCCGUCAUUUGUGGAUUUGAAAUAGAAGAAAAAUUAGGAAAAAAAUAGAAAAUGGGUAGGAGGUCGGUAAGGGCACUCACUUUUUGGCGUGCAAUU